AGCUUGCUUUUCUUAGCUUAGUGGCGAACGGGUGAGUAACGCGUGAGUAACCUGCCCUGGAGUGGGGGACAACAGUUGGAAACGACUGCUAAUACCGCAUAAGCCCACGGAUCCGCAUGGAUCUGCGGGAAAAGGAUUUAUUCGCUUCAGGAUGGACUCGCGUCCAAUUAGCUAGUUGGUGAGGUAACGGCCCACCAAGGCGACGAUUGGUAGCCGGACUGAGAGGUUGAACGGCCACAUUGGGACUGAGACACGGCCCAGACUCCUACGGGAGGCAGCAGUGGGGGAUAUUGCACAAUGGGGGAAACCCUGAUGCAGCGACGCCGCGUGGAGGAAGAAGGUUUUCGGAUUGUAAACUCCUGUCGUUAGGGACGAUAAUGACGGUACCUAACAAGAAAGCACCGGCUAACUACGUGCCAGCAGCCGCGGUAAAACGUAGGGUGCAAGCGUUGUCCGGAAUUACUGGGUGUAAAGGGAGCGCAGGCGGACCGGCAAGUUGGAAGUGAAAACUAUGGGCUCAACCCAUAAAUUGCUUU
rnacentral:rRNA from 1 species